AUUGAACGCUGGCGGCAGGCCUAACACAUGCAAGUCGAGCGAGCGGAGGACGGGUGAGUAAUGUAUGGGGACUGCCCGAUAGAGGGGGAUAACUACUGGAAACGGUGGCUAAUACCGCAUACAAUCGUAUAACCCAUAUGGGAUUAGCUAGUAGGUGGGGUAAAGGCUCACCUAGGCGACGAUCUCUAGCUGGUCUGAGAGGAUGAGCAGCCACACGGGGACGUGGACACUGCCCGGACUCCUCCGGAGGCAGCAGGGGGGAAUAUUGCACAAUGGGCGCAAGCCUGAUGCAGCCAUGCCGCGUGUAGGAAGAAGGCCUUAGGGUUGUAAAGUACUUUCAGCGGGGAGGCGUUACCCGCAGAAGAAGCACCGGCUAACUCCGUGCCAGCAGCCGCGGUAAUUC
rnacentral:rRNA from 1 species